GAGAACAGAUGUGUUUUGUUGAGCCCACGCUGUGUUUUUUAAAAAAUUGAGUUACCAACAUUGAAAAAUUAGAAGUUUUUACAUAUAUAUAAAAAUGUAUUUCUGUUGGUCCUGAAAAUCCAGAAAAACCUGUCUAUUACUGGGCCCACCUGCCCUCAGGGCAACAUAAGGCAAGGUCUGAGAAGUGGCUGACCCCAGUUGAUAGGACAUACACUCUCAGGUACUCUUCCUUGGGCCCUUCUUUCAUCUGUGUUAUCUACAAACCCCUAGAGGCAUUUUCUCUAAUUCCUCCUUUUGCAGACAAGCCUGUGGAUUAGGAGGAGUGUGUCCCUGGUGCCUAACAUGGCCAACAUCCCCUUUGCCCCUUGCCCAUGGCUUGAGCACCAGAACCUUGGAGAGAUUCAGACUCCAGUGGCUUGUAAAAGAGUGCUCUGUGCUUACCGGCACACUACCCCAGGUCUUCUGUUGUGAGUGAAGCUUCUUCUGAAGAAGAAAGCCAUGGAGAAGUCAAUUCCUCCCAAACACUACCCAGGGAAUGGGACAUUGGAAAAGAGGGACAAAAAAGUUCUAGAAGCUGAGAGAUGUCGUGACUAUAAGAAGAAGCAACGUGUUUUGCCUCUUUAUUGCAAAGUAAUAGAAAUAAUAAUGGGCUAAUGAUGAUGAUGGCUGAAGUUUCCUGACAACCUCAGUGUGUGCUAGGUCCUGUGCUGAGCACUUUAUACAUACUUCUGUCCAGUGGAGCAUAAAAGAAACCUGUUGCGCUUCUCAGAAGAGGUCUACUCAUCAUUGUCGACAGAGAGGCAUGUGAGAAGUCCCAAUUCAGAGCAGUGACAGCCA
rnacentral:lncRNA from 1 species